AUUGAACGCUGGCGGCAGGCCUAACACAUGCAAGUCGAACGAGUGGCGGACGGGUGAGUAAUGUCUGGGAAACUGCCUGAUGGAGGGGGAUAACUACUGGAACCGGUAGCUAAUACCGCAUACCAUCAGAUGUGCCCAGAUGGGCUUAGCGUGUUGGUGGGGUAACGGCUAACCAAGGCGACGAUCCCUAGCUGGUCUGAGAGGAUGACAAGCCACACUGGAACUGAGACACGGGCCAGACUCCUACGGGAGGAGUAAGUGGGGAAGAUUGCAAAAGGGGAGCAAGCCUGAUGCAGCCAUGCCGCGUGGAUGAAGAAGGCCUUCGGGUUGUAAAGUACUUGCAGCGGGGAGGCGUUACCCGCAGAAGAAGCACCGGCUAACUCCGUGCCAGCAGCCGCGGUAAUUC
rnacentral:rRNA from 1 species